AGGAACUCGCCGCCUCGCCUGCUCCGCAUGUGGCAACGCUGCUGGCUAAUCACUAGUUUUUUUUUUAAUUUUUAAACUCCAUUCUUCUUCCAAAGCAGUGCCUAAAGUUUAACCAAAAAGACUAGACUAAUAUAUUAAUAUAUACGAUUGUUCUGACAGUAUUUGUAUAUUAAGAGAUGAGAGAGAAAACACACUACCCUCCCAGAUCUGCCGCCCCGGGAGCCUGCUGCCGUUCCUGCCCUCUGCAGAGCCGAUCCCACCCAGCCGCUCGGAGACGGCGAGGCAGAGCCGGAAAACAGGAAAACAGUUCCGUCUUUUUGGUCUAACCACUUAGUGACUCUUUUGUAAUUAACCCUGCCGGCUUCAUCCCCUGCAUCCCGAAGGAGGAGACGACCCUGUCCCCGCAGCGUGCCGCAGCUGACAUGCUGGCAGAACGGAGGAGGACAUCGCAGGCUCCCCGCCACUCGGCGCCAGACAGCCACUUCACACCGGCCCUGGAGCUGUUGCCUGGACCCCUUCCACCCGCCCUCAGCAUGGCGAGGAGGGGGCUCUGUGCCCCAGCUCCUGAGCUGUCCCAGCUCCCUGGCUUGGCCUCCCGGCACAUCCCCACCACCACGCCGUGGAGCCGAUGCCCCGACCACAUCUUUUUCCAGUCCCACCAAAGAAGUCCCCUUGCCGCUGGGCGAGUUCCUUAGCUGGGUCUCCGACAUCAGCAAGUCGUGGAUGGGCUCGAGGGGAGCUUGGGACGCGGCAGCUCUUCGGCCGUGCUCACCGGCACAGAAGCACUGUGCUGCAGAUGAUGCCGGUCUCUCUGGGAAGAGCGUGGAGGGGUCAUCGCCGCAUGGGGAGGAGUUGGAGAGGUACGGGUUCUGCUGGGCACAGCGGGACGAGCCGAGGUGCCUUGUCAGGGUGGGUCAUGGCCGGGAACUGCAUGGGUGUGCAUGGGCAUCCGCAGCACG
rnacentral:lncRNA from 1 species